UGGUAGGGUAAAAGCCUACCAAGACGAUGAUGUUUAGCGGGGCCAAGAGGUUGUACCGCCACACUGGGAUUGAGAUACGGCCCAGACUCCUACGGGAGGCAGCAGUAAGGAAUAUUCCACAAUAAGCGAAAGCUUGAUGGAGCGACACAGCGUGCAGGAUGAAGUCUUUCGGGAUGUAAACUGCUGUUGUAAGGGAAGAAAAAACUAGAUAGGAAAUGCUCUAGUCUUGACGGUACCUUAUUAGAAAGCGACGGCAAACUAUGUGCCAGCAGCCGCGGUAAUACAUAGGUCGCAAGCGUUAUCCGGAAUUAUUGGGCGUAAAGCGUCCGUAGGUUUUUUGUUAAGUUUAAAGUUAAAUGCUAAAGCUCAACUUUAGUCCGCUUUAGAUACUGGCAAAAUAGAAUUAUGAAGAGGUUAGCGGAAUUCCUAGUGGAGUGGUGGAAUACGUAGAUAUUAGGAAGAACACCAAUAGGCGAAGGCAGCUAACUGGUCAUAUAUUGACACUAAGGGACGAAAGCGUGGGGAGCAAACAGGAUUAGAUACCCUGGUAGUCCACGCCGUAAACGAUGAUCAUUAGUUGGUGGCAAAAGUCACUAACACAGCUAACGCGUUAAAUGA
rnacentral:rRNA from 2 species